rnacentral:snRNA from 1 species
CAGUAGGAGCUUAGGCUC